GACGAACGCUGGCGGCGUGCUUAACACAUGCAAGUCGAACGGAAAGGCCCUGCUUUUGUGGGGUGCUCGAGUGGCGAACGGGUGAGUAACACGUGAGUAACCUGCCCUUGACUUUGGGAUAACUCCAGGAAACUGGGGCUAAUACCGGAUAGGAGCUCCUGCGGCAUGGUGGGGGUUGGAAAGUUUCGGCGGUUGGGGAUGGACUCGCGGCUUAUCAGCUUGUUGGUGGGGUAGUGGCUUACCAAGGCUUUGACGGGUAGCCGGCCUGAGAGGGUGACCGGCCACAUUGGGACUGAGAUACGGCCCAGACUCCUACGGGAGGCAGCAGUGGGGAAUAUUGCACAAUGGGCGGAAGCCUGAUGCAGCAACGCCGCGUGCGGGAUGACGGCCUUCGGGUUGUAAACCGCUUUCGCCUGUGACGAAGCGUGAGUGACGGUAAUGGGUAAAGAAGCACCGGCUAACUACGUG
rnacentral:rRNA from 1 species